GGUUCUGUGGUGUAAUGGUUAGCACUUUGGACUCUGAAUCCAAGGAUCCGAGUUCGAGUCUUGGCAGAACCU
rnacentral:tRNA from 1 species